rnacentral:rRNA from 1 species
CCCCCAUCCGCUAAGGAGUAAGGAGCUGAUAUCAGGCACUACAAACUGCCCAAAACAUCUAGCCACGCCACACCCACAAGGGCCCUCAGCAGUGAUCAACCUUAAAAAUAAUCGUCAGUUUGAUUUAGUUAGUGAAAACAAGAGCCGGCCAACCUGGUGCCAGCCGCCGCGGUUAUACCACAUGGCUCAAAUUGACUUCACACGGCGUAAAGCGUGAUUAAAGAGAAACAAAUUCUAGGAUUAAACUUAAACUAAGCUGUAGUACGCUUGUACCUAAGAAAACCAUAAUUCGAAAGAUAUCCUAAAACAUCAACUUGAACUCACUACAACUAGAACACAAACUGGGAUUAGAUACCCCACUAUGUCUAGUCAUAAACCUUAACUUACACCACAUCGCCAGGGAACUACGAGCUAAAGCUUAAAACCCAAAGGACUUGACGGUGCCCCACACCCCUCUAGAGGAGCCUGUCCUACAAUCGAUACCCCCCGUUCUACCUCACCAUUUUUAGCCUAUCAGCCUGUAUACUUCCGUCGUCAGCUUACCGCAUGAGCGAUAUAAGUAAGCUUAAUGUUAUCACCAAUACGUCAGGUCAAAGUGCAGCAAAUAAAGUGGCAAGAGAUGGGCUACACUCUCUACACUAGAAAAUACGAAAGAUCAUGUGAAACCGUGUUCAGAAGGUGGAUUUAGUAGUAAGAAGAAAAUAGAAUAUUCUUCUUAACCCGGCACUGGGGCGUGUACACACCGCCCGUCACCCUCUUC